CAAAAACAUGUCUUUUUGAUUAUAAUUUAAAGUCUAACCUGCCCAAUGAGGAGUUAAAUGGCCGCGGUAUUUUGACCGUGCAAAGGUAGCAUAAUCAUUAGUUUUUUAAUUGAAAGCUGGUAUGAAUGGUUGGACGAGAAAAUAACUGUCUCGAUUUAAGUUAUAUUAGAAUUUUAUUUAUGAGUAAAAAAGCUCAUAUAAGUUUAAAAGACGAGAAGACCCUAUAGAAUUUAAUAUAUAUACAUAUAUAUUAUUUUUAGAAUUGAUAAUGAGUUAUAUGUAAACAUAUUUUGUUGGGGUGAUAGAAAAAUUUAAAUAACUUUUUUUAUAUAAAAACAUUAAUGUAUGAAAAAAUGAUCCGUUAAUUACGAUUAUAAGAUUAAAUUACCUUAGGGAUAACAGCGUAAUUUUUUUUUAGAGUUCUUAUCGAAAAAAGAGUUUGCGACCUCGAUGUUGGAUUAAAAUUAACUUUUGGUGUAGGGGCU
rnacentral:rRNA from 1 species